CCGGAGUUCAACAGGCAGGCGUUUAUUUUGAACCAAUAUUUAGAGGUCGUUCUGGACGGUGUUCCCAACGUUUUUUGCUGGAGUCAUAAGGGAUUCUUACAGCGCGUAAAAUCUCCGUUUCUACCAGACGGUGUUCAUUUCAAUCGUAGAGCGCAAUACACGCUGUAUCGCAGUUAUCGCGGUGCUAUUCUUAAAGCUUUAGCAAGCCUUCCUAGUUGUUAGUCUGUUAUCUUCGGUUGUAUGUCUUUUAUACUUUUAUGUCAGCAGAUACUGUUUAAUUCUAUUUAGAUUUCUUCUUGCACGAGGCUACGCCCUCACACUUUGAUUCUGGUGUUGGCUACGUCCACACAGAAUAUGUUUUAUUUGGAGAAGUAGUCCAUACUUUAUAAUCCUUGUGAGAUUUUAUUCUCGCUUAUUUGUGAUGGCUACGUCCUCACACGUGUUAAUCUGAGGCUACGUCCUCAUUAUUUCUUAGUGGCGUUUUACUGGUGUGUGCCAUGCUCGACCCAGCCUAUAUUUUAGUUUUAUUUUAUCUUGUUAGAUUUUAUACUUCAUAAGCUUUUAGUAUUCUCCCACUACGUUUCUGAGUGUGUUUUUCAGGAAUUUUACCAUGCCCGCCACUCGAAAUCAACGUGCUCAGCGACCUGUAUCGGUAGCCGUACCACCAGCACGCCGUUCCCAUCGCGCUCGAGCGCCCCGUGCCUCAGGAACAACCACGACGGUUCCUUCGUCCAGUUCUCCUCGGCCAGCAACAGCUGCUCCUCUUGCUCCAGCCUCGGCUAUCACGCCCCAACAGCUCCAAGAGAUCGUCUGCUCCGGAACCGCCGAAGUGACUCGACGCCUGCAACCUGUAACAACUCCAGUGCCUGGUGUCCACGCAGUCCCAUCGAGUUCUCCUUCGGGACCUGCUGCCCCAGUUACGGAAUCGCCUAUUGUCCGCAUCUCAGAGCAUGUUGCGACUCCUCCGACGGCUGUGGCGCAACUUGCUGUUUCCAACGCUCUUGGUUCGGCCCACGCCACAAUUUCAGGUGAGACGUUUUUGGCGCCUACUUCUAGCCAUGUUCAACCAACGCAGGAAUAUCACUCUAUUAGUUUACCUAUAGACUGUCGGAUUUCCAUUAAACUUAAAAAUAAAAUUUGGAACGAUGAAUACAUCGAUUUCGGGUCUUUGUUGAGCAAUCCAAUGUCAGAUAACAAAUUCCAAUUGAGCUUUAGCUCUUCUGACGCCGGUUUACCACCAUCUCUUUCUGUAGAGCCGAUAAGUAAAGCCAAGAAAAUAACAAAUAUUUCUGUUUGGAUGAGUGCGUUUCGCAUUUUUGUAGGCGUUUAUGCUCAAAAGUAUCCUCAUGAGUCCCCCGCACUCAUGAAAUACGGGGAUAUAGUACAGGACUUGGCAGAUCGGGGUCAAAAUUGGCGGUUCUAUGAUGAAAACUUUCGCUUUUUGCGUCAAACCCAGCGGAGUUUGUUGUCUUGGGCCAAUGUUCAUUGGGAAUUGUGGCUGCGAUCGCAGCAUACUUCGCAAAAAUCACCCAGUAGAAUGCAACAUGCCCCGUCUAACCUUUCUGGUAAGGGGCCGCAAAAUUCAAUUCCUCGAGGCUACUGCUUCAAGUUUCACAAAGGAGAGGCUUGUUCUGGGUGUGAAUUUAAACAUUCCUGUUUUAAGUGUGACGGCCUACACCCUGGCCUUAAGUGUAAUUUUCGUGGCCAACUCAGGCGAGAUUUUCCCAGACCAACCCGUAAUUCUGCCAAGUCAGGUGCUGCUCCCAACGCCCAUCAACCUAAAUCGGCUUGAGCCAUAUUUAAACGGCUAUUUUGCAGACAUAAUUUCUACGCUCGUUUCUGGUUUUACUCAUGGUUUUGCGUUACAUUUUUCUGGUGUUGUUAAUACCAAAGAAGGCAAAAAUCUGCCUUCGGCUUUAGCUAAUCCAACCGUGGUUGAUAAAAAACUUGCUAAAGAACUGUCAGCUCUCAGGCUUGCGGGGCCUUUUACUGCCGCGCCAUUUCACCCAUUUAGGGUUUCUCCGUUAGGUCUAGUCCAAAAAAAGACCAUAGGCGAAUUUCGUUUGAUUCACCAUUUGUCCUUCCCGCGCGGUUCUUCUGUCAACGAUGGCAUAGCUACCGAAAACACUAGCGUGCACUAUGCCACAGUUGCAGAUGCUAUUCGUUUACUUAAACUCGCGGGACCUGGAUGUUUUCUUGCAAAAACCGACGUGAAGAACGCUUUUCGCAUUAUACCAAUUCGACCCUCCGAC